rnacentral:rRNA from 1 species
GACGAACGCUGGCGGCGUGCUUAACACAUGCAAGUCGAACGGAAAGGCCCUGCUUUUGUGGGGUGCUCGAGUGGCGAACGGGUGAGUAACACGUGGGUAACCUGCCCUUGACUUUGGGAUAACUUCAGGAAACUGGGGCUAAUACCGGAUAGGAGCUCCUGCUGCAUGGUGGGGGUUGGAAAUUUUCGGCGGUUGGGGAUGGACUCGCGGCUUAUCAGCUUGUUGGUGGGGUAGUGGCUUACCAAGGCUUUGACGGGUAGCCGGCCUGAGAGGGUGACCGGCCACAUUGGGACUGAGAUACGGCCCAGACUCCUACGGGAGGCAGCAGUGGGGAAUAUUGCACAAUGGGCGGAAGCCUGAUGCAGCAACGCCGCGUGCGGGAUGACGGCCUUCGGGUUGUAAACCGCUUUCGCCUGUGACGAAGCGUGAGUGACGGUAAUGGGUAAAGAAGCACCGGCUAACUACGUG